GCCUGGGUGGCUCAGUCGGUUAAGCCUCUGACUUCAGCUCAGGUCAUGAUCUCACAGUUCGUGGGUUCGAGCCCCGCGUCGGGCU
rnacentral:tRNA from 1 species